GCUAGUCUGAGUGCAAUGGUGUUUACAACUAACUGAUCACAACCAGUUACAGAUUUCUUUGUUCCUUCUCUACUCCCACUGCCUCACUUGAUUAAGCUAAA
ensembl:misc_RNA Y_RNA Y RNA